rnacentral:misc_RNA from 1 species
AACGCACAUUGCGCCUGCUAGUAUUCUGGCAGGCAUGCCUGUCCGAGCGUCAUUGCAACCUUCAAGCCCUGCUGUGGUUUGGUGUUGGAGUGCCUGUAGCAUUAGUGCUUAGGGGCUCUGAAAGUUGGUGGCGGGCCUGUUGGGUCUCUAAGUGUAGUAUAUUUUCUUACUCUUGGAGCCUAACCGGUAGGCUUAAUUGCUUCCUAGCCAUUAAACCCUUCACUGAAAUCAGUUUGACCUCGGAUCAGGUAGGAGUACCCGCUGAACUUAA